AUUGAACGCUGGCGGCAGGCCUAACACAUGCACUUCGAGCGGAGCGGCGGACGGGUGAGUAAUGCCUAGGAAUCUGCCUGGUAGUGGGGGAUAACGUCCGGAAACGGGCGCUCAUACCGCAUACUAUCAGAUGAGCCUCGGUCGGAUUAGAUAGUUGGUGGGGUAAAGGCCUACCAAGGCCACGAUCCGUAACUGGUCUGAGAGGAUGAUCAGUCACACUGGAACUGAGACACGGCCCAGCCUCCUACGGGAGGCAGCAGUGGGGAAUCUUCCGCAAUGGACGAAAGUCUGACGAGGCACCGCCGCGUGAGUGAUGACGGCCUUCGGGUUGUAAAGCUCGGUUAAUCGGGACGCGGUACCGGAAUAGAAAGCCACGGCUAACUACGUGCCAGCGGCCGCGGUAAUUC
rnacentral:rRNA from 1 species